rnacentral:sRNA from 1 species
UCCUAAAGUUUGCUUUUGGUUAGAUGC